CGUACGAAAGUUUUUAACUCAAGUGGCGGACGGGUGAGUAACACGUAAGAAUUUGCCUUUAGGAGGGGGACAACAAUUGGAAACGAUUGCUAAUACCCCAUAUGCUUUCGAGUAAAAUGGAUUUUUCCGCCUAAAGAGAAGCUUGCGGCUGAUUAGCUUGUUGGUAAGGUAAUGGCUUACCAAGGCGACGAUCAGUAUCUGGUUUGAGAGGACGAUCAGACACACUGGAACUGAGACACGGUCCAGACUCCUACGGGAGGCAGCAGUGGGGAAUUUUCCGCAAUGGGCGAAAGCCUGACGGAGCAAUCUCGCGUGAGGGAUGACGGCCUAUGGGUUGUAAACCUCUUUUUUCAGGGAGGAAUAAAAUGACGUGUACCUGAAGAAUAAGCAUCGGCUAACUCCGUGCCAGCAGCCGCGGUAAGACGGAGGAUGCAAGUGUUA
rnacentral:rRNA from 1 species